CGGAAAGGCCUCUUGCUUGCAAGGGGUACUCGAGUGGCGAACGGGUGAGUAACACGUGGGUGAUCUGCCUUGCACUCUGGGAUAAGCUUGGGAAACUGGGUCUAAUACCGGAUAGGAACCGUCUUUAGUGUGGUGGUUGGAAAGUUUUUUCGGUGCAAGAUGAGCUCGCGGCCUAUCAGCUUGUUGGUGGGGUAAUGGCCUACCAAGGCGUCGACGGGUAGCCGGCCUGAGAGGGUGUACGGCCACAUUGGGACUGAGAUACGGCCCAGACUCCUACGGGAGGCAGCAGUGGGGAAUAUUGCACAAUGGGCGGAAGCCUGAUGCAGCGACGCCGCGUGGGGGAUGACGGCCUUCGGGUUGUAAACUCCUUUCGACAGGGACGAAGCGUAAGUGACGGUACCUGUAUAAGAAGCACCGGCUAACUACGUGCCAGCAGCCGCGGUAAUACGUAGGGUGCGAGCGUUGUCCGGAAUUACUGGGCGUAAAGAGCUCGUAGGUGGUUUGUCGCGUCGUCUGUGAAAUUCCGGGGCUUAACUUCGGGCGUGCAGGCGAUACGGGCAUAACUUGAGUACUGUAGGGGUAACUGGAAUUCCUGGUGUAGCGGUGAAAUGCGCAGAUAUCAGGAGGAACACCGAUGGCGAAGGCAGGUUACUGGGCAGUUACUGACGCUGAGGAGCGAAAGCAUGGG
rnacentral:rRNA from 1 species